UUUUAGGGAUGGGCCCGCGGCGCAUUAACUAGUUGGUGAGGUAAAGGCUCACCAAGGCAACGAUGCGUAACCGACCUGAGAGGGUGAUCGGCCACACUGGGACUGAGACACGGCCCAGACUCCUACGGGAGGCAGCAGUAGGGAAUCUUCCGCAAUGGACGAAAGUCUGACGGAGCAACGCCGCGUGAGCGAAGAAGGUCUUCGGAUCGUAAAGCUCUGUUGUUAGGGAAGAACAAGUACCGGAGUAACUGUCGGUACCUUGACGGUACCUAACCAGAAAGCCACGGCUAACUACGUGCCAGCAGCCG
rnacentral:rRNA from 1 species